UACAGAGGUGGCAAGCGUUGUUCGGAAUUACUGGGCGUAAAGGGCGCGUAGGCGGCCUUCUAAGUCAGACGUGAAAUCCCCAGGCUUAACUUGGGAACUGCGUCUGAUACUGGGAGGCUUGAGUGCGGGAGAGGGAUGUGGAAUUCCAGGUGUAGCGGUGAAAUGCGUAGAUAUCUGGAGGAACACCGGUGGCGAAGGUGGCAUCCUGGACCGACACUGACGCUGAGGCGCGAAAGCCAGGGGAGCAAACGGGG
rnacentral:rRNA from 1 species